GGACAACUAGGACCACCAGGGCCAAAAGGAAAAAAAGGAGACCCAGGAAAAAAGGGAAGUCCAGGCAUGAAACGCACAGGAUAUCCUGGUAUCCCUGGGAUGCGAGGUCCUCCUGGACCUAGAGGAAAACAUGGUAAACGUGGUAUCCGAGGCAGAAAAGGUCCAAUUGGCUCAAAGGGUAGCUUAGGACUCACAGGUAAACGUGGUCUGAAGGGAGCUAAAGGGAGCAUGG